rnacentral:rRNA from 1 species
AUGAACGCUAGCUACAGGCUUAACACAUGCAAGUCGAGGGGCAGCAUGAACUUAGCUUGCUAAGUUUGAUGGCGACCGGCGCACGGGUGAGUAACACGUAUCCAACCUGCCGAUGACUCGGGGAUAGCCUUUCGAAAGAAAGAUUAAUACCCGAUGGCAUAGUUCUUCCGCAUGGUAGAACUAUUAAAGAAUUUCGGUCAUCGAUGGGGAUGCGUUCCAUUAGGUUGUUGGCGGGGUAACGGCCCACCAAGCCUUCGAUGGAUAGGGGUUCUGAGAGGAAGGUCCCCCACAUUGGAACUGAGACACGGUCCAAACUCCUACGGGAGGCAGCAGUGAGGAAUAUUGGUCAAUGGACGAGAGUCUGAACCAGCCAAGUAGCGUGAAGGAUGACUGCCCUAUGGGUUGUAAACUUCUUUUAUACGGGAAUAAAGUGAGGCACGUGUGCCUUUUUGUAUGUACCGUAUGAAUAAGGAUCGGCUAACUCCGUGCCAGCAGCCGCGGUAAUACGGAGGAUCCGAGCGUUAUCCGGAUUUAUUGGGUUUAAAGGGAGCGUAGGCGGACGCUUAAGUCAGUUGUGAAAGUUUGCGGCUCAACCGUAAAAUUGCAGUUGAUACUGGGUGUCUUGAGUACAGUAGAGGCAGGCGGAAUUCGUGGUGUAGCGGUGAAAUGCUUAGAUAUCACGAAGAACUCCGAUUGCGAAGGCAGCCUGCUGGACUGUAACUGACGCUGAUGCUCGAAAGUGUGGGUAUCAAACAGGAUUAGAUACCCUGGUAGUCCACACAGUAAACGAUGAAUACUCGCUGUUUGCGAUAUACAGUAAGCGGCCAAGCGAAAGCGUUAAGUAUUCCACCUGGGGAGUACGCCGGCAACGGUGAAACUCAAAGGAAUUGACGGGGGCCCGCACAAGCAGUGGAGUAUGUGGUUUAAUUCGACGCAACGCGAAGAACCUUACCAGGGCUUGACAUAUAGAGGAAUAAGCUAGAGAUAGUUUAGCUCUUCGGAGUCUCUAUACAGGUGGUGCAUGGUUGUCGUCAGCUCGUGUCGUGAGAUGUUGGGUUAAGUCCCGCAACGAGCGCAACCCUUAUUGCCAGUUACUACGUAAGAGGACUCUGGCGAGACUGCCGUUGACAAAACGGAGGAAGGUGGGGAUGACGUCAAAUCAUCAUGCCCUUUAUGACCUGGGCUACACACGUAAUACAAUGGCGCAAAACAGAGGGAAGCAAGACCGCGAGGUGGAGCAAACCCCUAAAAGCCGUCCCAGUUCGGAUUGCAGGCUGCAACCCGCCUGUAUGAAGUUGGAAUCGCUAGUAAUCGCGGAUCAGCAUGCCGCGGUGAAUACGUUCCCGGGCCUUGUACACACCGCCCGUCACACCAUGAGAGUUGGGAAUACCCGAAGCCUGUGAGCUAACUUUUAGAGGCAGCAGUCGAAGGUAGAAUCAAUGAUUGGGGUG